GUUAUCUUGAUGGGCCAGCUGCAUGUCAGCCUCAGAAAAUGGUCUCCAGUCCCAUCUAGACCCACACCUCCGUGAUGCCACCAUACUUCCAAAUCACUUAAUGACUUGCGGUCCACAGAGCUCUGGGCACUGCUGUCCUCACUCACGUAACUUUUUACCAAGGCGGUCUCUAAGCCAGCACGCUAAAACCAUGGAGAUAGGAGUCCAUUUCAUAUAGCAGGAUUAUCGUGUCCUGUGGUUGUAAACGGUGUGAGCGAGUGUGUCUACACAUAGCCGUAGCACAGUUCAGGGGCAAAUUCCAUUAAGUGUGUUUUUAAGAAGUCAACCAAUGCUAUGGCAGGCAUUCGUUACCAGAAUGGAAAUUUAGCCUGCAAUUGUUCCUGGCAGACCUUCUGGGUCCCCUCCAGGAGCUCACAUGUGCCUUCAAACAAAAUGUCACCCACCGAGGUGGCAGCGUCCUUGCUCUGUCUGUUGAUCACGACUCCCCGUGUGACUUGUCUCUUCCCUAAUGCGUCUAAGUACCUGGUACUUUCCUAUGCAGGAAGCUUAUAUGAACUAAUUAACAUUUAAUGAGAGGAAACCAGCUGAUUAGAAUGCUUUCCGUGGUACUUUAGCUAAUAAAUGUUGUAUACCCUUUUGACGCAUCCCUCAACACGGGGGUCCCCCUCC
rnacentral:lncRNA from 1 species